CCCUUUGUAGCUCAGCUGGAAGAGCGUGGGACUGUAAUGGAUCACGUGACCAUCCCAAGGCCAUCGGUUCGAUCCCGAUCGAAGGGA